UUGCAAAAUUGGAAUAAAUUUCCACAUUAAAAUUAUUCUCAUCUUCGUGUACCAACAAAGCCAGUAAAUACAAUUACAACUAACAUGGUACAAUGGAUCCAUCAAUUAAUAGAAUUAAAGAAAGCAGACAUAAAUGCAAUAUAUCAAGGAAAUAUAAUAAAUAUGCGUUUUUAAAAUCAUUAGCACUACCAAAUCAUUGCUGACUUCGAUUUAAUUACCUGGUUGGAUUGCAAGCCGUCAUGAAUUUGUGUACACAUGGGGAGCAAGCCUAAAUAUUCACCCAAAACUUUUAUUUUUUUUUUCUAUUACAUAGAAUAACACGCACCAAUGGGCCAUAAAAACGUCAAUCGAUGAAGAGGCUAGUACACAAAGUCGAUACAGAAGCAGCACUUAACAUGGAGGAGAGGUCUUCCUUCCAGCCAUGACACUGUCUUACCAUGUCCCCAGCGAGUUUCGCCGAGAAUUCUCAUCAUAUCCCAGUAUUGGGGUUAUUUCCAGCAAGAAUAAGAGAAAUUUCUAAUCCACGGCUGAAGGCUUGGUUGAACAUGAGCCUGGUUUGGAAAGUUGAUACAAAUGGGAACCACGAAAAUAAGGCAAUAGGAAUAAAGAUGAGCAUUCCCAUCCCGGCAUCAUACAGACGGGCAAUUGAGCGGAUGGAUUUCCAUAAUCCUAGCUUCUUCAUCAAAGGCUUCCAUGCAGCAGCAAUAGAUAGAAUUCCCCAUCCAGUAGGUACAAAUGCCAAGAUGCAAGCAAAAAUGUCUGGAACUGACAAAUCUGUGAAUACAACUGCAACAGCUAAACCAGCUAAUGCCAACAAGAAGGAGACACCUUGGACGAAGCGCAACAAAAGCUGAAAAUUGACAGAUAUCUUCUGACUGAAGGUGAAUACCUUGAAAAGAACCAUAAGCACUGCUAGAACAAUCCAUGAAAAGCCAUAUAUCUACAGAAAAAUCAAACCACAGUUUUAUCUUUUUAAUACUGCACGUACAAGAAAUAACAGGGAAAACAGAAGCAAUCCAGAACAGUAGUCAAUAAUGCAGUAUCCUGUUUGGCGCAUGCCCAUGGAAGCUGAUGAAAUGCUUCUCAUUGCAGAAAGCAAUUAGAUUAAUGGUAGAAAGAAACAUUAAGAAAUGCAGUGUGUCCAAUGCUGAUCUCAUGAAAGAAAUAACAUCUUUUAAAAGAGAGCUGUUACCGCUAAUGAUGUAUUUGAUUUUUGUAUAUCUAGCUUGUAUACAAUGCCAUACUGGAAAAUAAAGAAUCGUAGACUCAAAAUGGUCUCCAGUAUUCUCCCUUUCAAAGUACGGAUAUGUGCCAGUUCUUCAUCCCACCAUGCUUCCCAGCUUUCUUCUCCCUUAACCCCAAUUCCACCUCUGUAAAGAAGCCAAUUUGUCCAAUCCCUGAAGUCCUCUACUGUCUUUUGCCACUCAAACGCAGAUGGAUUAAACAAAUAGGGAGCAAAGAGCCAAGAAAGAGCCAUAUACCAACUGCUAACUGUAAGAAGAAUGUAAGACAGUGCACCACCUUCAUUAUAUCCAUAUGCAAGGUAUACUACCAGCAAAAGCACAACUUCUAGCCCUUUAACAAAAUGACUGCGGGAAUAGAGCCUAUAGUUUUCAGAAAAUUUAAUAUGGCGGACCACAAAUCCCCUACCAGUGGCAUGGUACCUUGCACCACCAUGAAGAAUGGUUCGACCAAAAUAAUGUGUUCUAGUGCCCAAUGAAAAUGUGAAGAAGACAGAACAAAGCUGAAGCUGCAUUGUGACAAAACUGACAAUGGCCCUCAGAAAACCCUGCUCCAAGAUAAAGCCCAAAAUCAUUGGCACAGCAGUAAAAAUACCAAUUUGAAAGAGGAACUGUGCAUUUAGAGCAGCACUGAGGGCAGUGUUCUGUAGUAUAUCAGAUCUUACUUGAAUUUCUUCGCCAACUCCAGAUAGUGCCAAAUAUGCCUUCCCAUAGAGGAAGAUGUAUACAGUCAGCACCGUUAACAUUGUACAAAAAUAGUAUCCCACAGUAGUAAAGUAAAAUGACAUCAUUCGAAAGAAAUCAAAGAGCUGCCCGAGCCUGUACACAUCCCGACUAAGAACUUGCUCACCGUUGCCACCAGCAACCUUCCCUUCAAACAAAGCAAUCUGGUUGAGACCAACAUCUCGUCCUUUGCCAACCUGAAUAUAUUCAUGAUGAGUAAUAUUCCCUUGGCGCAAAGUUGAAUUGAACCCUGCAUAAAUGUCUUCACUAAUGUUGAUAACUCGAGAAGCCUUGCUGAUACCGCCUCGAGUUAUAUGGAAGACUCUAUCAAAGACAUCUGGAUGGCCAUAAUGCAUACGGACUUUCAAUGGAUUAGCCAAAACACGCUGACCAAGAGUCACAAAGCUAGUUUCCUGAUUUGACAUAAACGAAGCUAAAGAAGAGACACUUCCAGUAAAAACAUGUUCUCUAACACCAAGAAUUGUUGGAGGAUGAAUACCAUGAUCACGAUGGAAUUCUUCUAGAAGAUUUCUCAUCUUUAAGGCUUCCUCAAAAUAAUUAUCCUGAUUCAUAUCAAUUGUCUGAACCGCAUUUCCACGAGUAAAUACAAUUGCAUGGUUUUGAUUCUCAGGUUUUCCUUCUCCAAGUUUUGGAUUUCCAGGCAACUUUAUGGAGUAAAUUUCCUUGUCUUUUCCAUUGAUAUCAGCCUUCACAAGCUUUGAGUAGAAUUCUCUCUGUACUUUACCAUCCUUCAGAGUUUCAACUUCAUCAAUAAAAGCAACACGAAGAGCUUCAUUUCUUUGCAUGAGUAAUGCAAUAUCAGCUGCCUCAGGUUUUUGGUCCUCUUUCUGUUUUCCAUAUAUUUGACAUGUAACCACAUAUGUAAACUUCAGAUCAGCCUGAGCUCGUGCCUCAGGAGACAAGUCAAAACCUCCAGUAUCAGUUGCAUCAUUACUUGAAAUUGCAGAUUCCAUAUCCCCAGCGGUUGCUCUUUCCAAGUAGCUUUGAAGCAUAAGAGCUUUUCUAUAGUACAUCAUUCCACGAACUGUUCUGGCUAGCGUUUGUCCCCUGUAAGAGGCCCAAAACCGAAGUUCAAGGAUAUCACUAGGACUAUCAAAGAGUUCUGUGUCCAUAGCAUUUUCAUCACGGCCAAUUCGAGCAAGAAAGUUCUUCCACUCAUCUGGAAAUAUUUUCUGGAGGUAAAACAAAAUUGAUAUUCCAUCCUCAUUUUUCUUUUGAAGUUCAGCCAUGCUAUAAAGAACAAUCUCCGAAUAGUAAGGAGUAAACACACUGAAAGACAGCAUUUCACGGACUGGCUUUGCCUCAGGCAUACCCAUAAAAAGGGAAUUUGUAAAGAAUUCUAGCCUACGUCUCGCUUCAAUAUUUUUGGGAAUAUUUGAAGCAGAUUCUUUGAUGGUUAAAAGUGCAUGCAAUCUUCUGAUCUGUGUUUUCAAUUCAUUGUUUCUAGGCCACUUCAAGUCUGUAAACAAACGGCCUUGAGACCAUGCUUCGGACAGUACAUUCCACGUCUCACAGUGCUCCCUCAUGAUGACAGAAAGGAAAUCAGAUCGCACAACAUCAUAAAGAUCUUGAACAGCUUUAAUUGCACCUUUUUGCAGUUCUGGUGUCUCAGAUCCUUUCAGAAUUCCCAUUAAUGCGGUUACUCGAGAAAUAACUAGGUGCAGUUUAUUUAGCUGAAAAUCAUCUUGAAUACUCCUCUUUUCAAUACUUGCUUGAAUGUCUCCAUAAACCCUUUCAACCCACAUCUUGCCUUCACCUUCCAAUAUUUCUGUUAGAAUAAAUUCAAGAGCAUGGUAUGAUUCUUCAACCGCAUACUUCAUAUAGUCAUCCCUAGAAAUCCUUUCCCACAGUUCAUCUUGUGACUCUCUGCUCUGAGUAAUCUCUACAGCAAUAUCCUUAGCCAAAAAUAUCUUGCUGGCAAGAAGAAAAAGAGGCCACUGUACCAAGGGCAGAUUUCCAGAAUUUUUUGGCAUCAAAAGCAACUCCAUUUCUUGAUAAGUAAUAUAAUCUUCUUCCCUAAGAUUCUUUAUAAUCUCAUUCCAAAAGGGAGAGAAUCGAGCAGCAUCAAUCUUCCUGUUCUCCAAAACAUCACUAGAAGCGCUUCCAGAUAUCCUGUCGCGAAGUGGAAUAUGAAGAGUAUUCAUAAAAGCCCCAGGAAACUCCUCAAACAGUCGGUGAACAGCUUCCAAAGAUCUAAUUUCCCCAAGACGGUCUCUUGCUCCAAGCAAGAAUCCAUAAAUGGCAGAUAUAACAGUGUAGAAGAUAUGAAUAUCCAAAAGAUAGAUACAGAUAACUGGAGCCCAUAAACUUGCAACUGUCAAGGCAUUAUGAUUAUUUUUAGAUACAAGAUCAUGCCACGAAUACACUAGAUUAUCCGUCAUCCCCACAAUAAUCUGUGUUGGUUCCACCAAUGGCUUGAUCAGGAGAAAGUAUGCAAAUGCGAACUUAGCACUCAAAACAAUAAGCCAGAACAACAUAUACUUCAAAAAAUCACUGGUCCUUUCAUACAUGCCACGCCCAACAUAGUACCGUUCCUGACGCAUCCACUUUAAGAAGCGAAUUAUAGGCCAAUGAUCACACUGAUUAGUCAAGUGAUGGCAAGCAGGUAUGCGCAUGAGGAAACUAAUAAAAAAUUGGAUCCCAGCAUAGAUGCCUAUAAUAAUUACAUACAAUCUGAAAAUGACCGGAUUUGAAUUUUGUUUACUUUCUUCCUGAAGAGCUUUCACAUAAAGGAAGCAUAUGAAGAUUGAAGCACUACAAAACCAAACAAAACGCAGAAAAAUUCGAGAAACAGCUACACGCCGCGUUGUAUAAUAAGCGCCAUACAUCAUGAUAACAUCUAAUAUACUCUCAAAAAACUUCAUCACUACAAAUGUUGGACCAAGACUCAGAACUUCCCGUAGGGUCUUGGAGUUGAAAUUUUCUCCAUUGAAAGCAAAGAUGGUGAGUCCCUGAAACAUCAUAACAAGAAAUAUCCACAGACGAUGGAAACUAUGGUAAAGAUGAAGAAAUGUCCGGUGCUCAACAAAUGAAGUUUUCCCUCGACGUUGACUUCCAGCAGUUCUAAGCAGAUACUUUGCCCUUGGUUUUGGUUUUUGAAAAAAGGAUGAAUUCCUGCGCCAUGGCCAACUAAGUUCGAAGCAGUGAAGCGACCAAAAAUACUCAUUAAAAUCAUCAUAAUUUCUCCAAGCAGAAUGAGGAGCUCGCCCGUUCUCAUUAUUUCCCGCUUCCGCUGCAACAACCUCAUAUAGAGGAGUAACAACUUUAUCAAGGAAAGAUACACCAUUCUCAGAAUUGCAACUAUUUGCAGGCUGCACAAUUUGCUGUCUCAAAAUCUCGUCCAUUUCCCUUACCAUGUGAUGAAAUAUAUAGCACAAGCAUUCUGGAAUGAAUCUAAUGUUUGAGGCUUCCCCCCAUAUCAGAAAGUACAGUGAAAGGAAGAGCAAUUUCUUUUCCUUGCUAACAGACUCCAAAUUGCUCCAAACAGGCUGAAUGUUUAAAUAGCUGCACCAUUUAAUGUAAUUUUCCAGCGACUUCAAGAACACCCUUUGUACAGCAGCCUCAUCCAAUAUCGGUUCAGUUUCAUCGGGUAUACGAAGGCGAGAUUGCUCAUUCGCAAGGAGGUGAACUAUAUGUUCCCGCUGGUUGGAGACAUUGUCUUUCUGAAACCCAAAAACAAACUGCAGAAAAUCAAGCAUGUCAGCAUUCCUUGUAGCAGGAACAGGGAAAUCAACGGGCAAGUUAGGCAGGCCUGGAAAAUACUUUAAAGCCUUCGCUGCUGCUUGCACCUCAGGGAAAGCCACAAUAGCAUUUGUUAUAGUUGAAGCAUCCAGCGGAAUAAUGUUAUAAGCAACUAGGUCCUCAGUCAUAGCUGCAUCUGACUCGAUCAAUCGUUUCAGCUCUUCAGGAAUUUCCUUAGUCAGCUGCUCAAGUACCGAACCUAAAACCUUCAAAGUUGCAAAUACUCUUUUCCUCUUCACUGUUUUUCGUUCCAGCUCGCCAAGAUUUCCACUGAAUGUGCCAGACUCCCUCAACUUUAUUUCUUCUUCUCGUAGCUUGUCUACAUUGUUCUUCUCUCUGUAGAGUUUGUAGAACUCUUGCAAGCGAGCAAUGUCCUGGCUUCUAUCGAUGACCCCACCAUCUCUCUUUGCAAGCUUUUGCUUGAUGACAGACAUCAAACCAGUCUUGAAUUGAAGAACACCUCUUCCUUCACUAUUAGGAUCCAGAUUUUGUGCAAGUGAAUAAGCAUGCUCACAUAAAAUUCUAGAGACAUUCGGAUCUUCAUCUUGAAUUUCAUCAGCAGCCCUCAAAAUUGCAUCAAUAUCCCUAUUGUUUGCAAGUGAAGAGGGAACAUAUCCAGCAAUGCCACCAACGGGUCGGCCAAGUGCAUCAGUCCCAAUUCUUUCCCUCCUUAAUGCAGCCCGUACUAACCGCUCCCAGAGAUCCUCUGCUCGAGACAUUUUCUAGCUGAACCCUCGAUCGCGAGGCCAAAACCCUAGAGACCAAGUUGAGAAGGUGAGUUGAAACGGCCUCUUGGACCGGUAGAAAUGGAAAUAAAAAGCUAACUUUUUCUACAGAAAGGUGAUUGUGUUUGGCGUUUGAAAUCGAAGUGAAACUGAAUCCUGUAAUCCUUCUGGGCAAAGUAAUCAAAGUGGAGUUACCGGAUAUAUCCGGUGGCACACGGGUUUUACUUUGAU
rnacentral:misc_RNA from 1 species